CCUCAUCAUUUGUCAGCCAAUCCUGCUUUGGGGCUAAGCACGAGAAUACCCGGAAAUGAAGGAUUAUCUUGUCAGGCCAAAAGGGUCUCUCCAUUUCCCCUUUGGCUAUUGUCCUGAAUCUACAGUGAGACGAUUCCUAUUUCAUCACUGUGUGAGCAGAACCUUAUAGCAUUGAGGUAAGAAAAAUAUCUACAUCUGUAGAUUUUGAACUUUAAUAAUAUAUCCACUGCAUUAAAGGGGGAAGACACAAAAAUUAGGAGCUAGAAAUUUUGUGUAAGAGUAAAUCUCCACUUAUUUCACACAACCUCUGAAUUCCAACACCCUGUACACUAGAAAAAUUAUUUCUUGGGUGCAAAGGUUUGGGAACAGCCCAAAAACAGACAGAAAUACAGGUGAUACAGACACACAUAGACACAGACAGACAGAAACAGACGCACAAAAAACAGACAGAGACAGACACAGACACAGACACAGACAUAGAG
rnacentral:lncRNA from 1 species